rnacentral:rRNA from 1 species
GAGCGGUAGAGUUUCUUCGGAGACUUGAGAGCGGCGUACGGGUGCGGAACACGUGUGCAACCUGCCUUUAUCAGGGGGAUAGCCUUUCGAAAGGAAGAUUAAUACCCCAUAAUAUAUAGAGUGGCAUCACUUUAUAUUGAAAACUGAGGUGGAUAAAGAUGGGCACGCGCAAGAUUAGAUAGUUGGUGAGGUAACGGCUCACCAAGUCGAUGAUCUUUAGGGGGCCUGAGAGGGUGAUCCCCCACACUGGUACUGAGACACGGACCAGACUCCUACGGGAGGCAGCAGUGAGGAAUAUUGGACAAUGGGUUAGCGCCUGAUCCAGCCAUCCCGCGUGAAGGACGACGGCCCUAUGGGUUGUAAACUUCUUUUGUACAGGGAUAAACCUAUUUACGUGUAAAUAGCUGAAGGUACUGUACGAAUAAGCACCGGCUAACUCCGUGCCAGCAGCCGCGGUAAUACGGAGGGUGCAAGCGUUAUCCGGAUUUAUUGGGUUUAAAGGGUCCGUAGGCGGAUCUGUAAGUCAGUGGUGAAAUCUCACAGCUUAACUGUGAAACUGCCAUUGAUACUGCA